rnacentral:lncRNA from 10 species
ACUUUCUGACUGUGAGUACUGCUACAAGUCCACCCCCACCUCUGCUUGUAGAAAUAAAAAGUGCAGAUUUAUGAGAGGGGAUGGGUCUACCUGGAGUGACUUGAGGAAUACCCAGAAGACCCCGUCCACCUCCUCCUGCUUAGAAUAUGCCUUUUGCUAGCCUGCUGUGAUGCCUGGAAUUUCAUCCUUCACCCAUUGCUGGGCCCACCCACAUAGUUUAAAGCCAAGAUCAGGACAGAGAUGGAGGGAGCUGUCCCCUGGCCACCCUGAUACCUGCUGUUGGAAAUCAACAAACAAACACAAACCCACUUUGCGUUCUGUCUAUGGUUUCUUAGACACGCGUGGAUUCUCACAGCCACCACCACAGACAGUACAAGCAACAGUUCCAAUACUCCAGAGAACGCCCUCAUCUCUCCUCACCCCUGCCUUCUGGCAAGCAAUGAGCUGUUCUCUGUUCCUGUAUUUUUGCCUUUUCUAGAAUGCCAUAUAAAUGGAAUUAUAUAGAAUGUGCCCUUUUGGUACUGGCCUCUUUUGUUCAAAAGAAUAAUACCUUUGAGAUUCAUCCAUGCUGUUGUUUGAAUCAAGCAUGUUAACUUUUAUUGCUG